GACGAGCCUCACAAACGUUAUUCGGAAUUACUGGGCUUAAAGGGUGCGUAGGCGGCGCGGUAAGUCGGGUGUGAAAUCUCGGAGCUUAACUCCGAAACUGCAUUCGAUACUGGCGAUCUCGAGUCCGGGAGAGGUGAGUGGAACUGCGAGUGUAGAGGUGAAAUUCGUAGAUAUUCGCAAGAACACCAGUGGCGAAGGCGGCUCACUGGCCCGGUACUGACGCUGAGGUGCGAAAGCGUGGGGAGCAAACAGG
rnacentral:rRNA from 1 species